rnacentral:rRNA from 1 species
AUUGAACGCUGGCGGCAUGCCUUACACAUGCAAGUCGAACGGCAGCAUAGGAGCUUGCUCCUGAUGGCGAGUGGCGAACGGGUGAGUAAUAUAUCGGAACGUGCCCUAGAGUGGGGGAUAACUAGUCGAAAGACUAGCUAAUACCGCAUACGAUCUACGGAUGAAAGUGGGGGAUCGCAAGACCUCAUGCUCCUGGAGCGGCCGAUAUCUGAUUAGCUAGUUGGUGGGGUAAAAGCCUACCAAGGCGACGAUCAGUAGCUGUUCUGAGAGGACGACGAGCCACGGUGGGAAUGAGCAACGGCCCAGACGCCUACGGGAGGCAGCAGUGGGGAAUUUUGGACAAUGUGGGCAACCCUGAUCCAGCAAUGCCGCGUGAGAGAAGAAGGCCUUCGGGUUGUAAAGCUCUUUUGUCAGGGAAGAAACGGUAGUAGCUAAUAUCUAUUACUAAUGACGGUACCUGAAGAAUAAGCACCGGCUAACUACGUGCCAGCAGCCGCCGUAA